UACGUAGGCAGCAAGCGUUGUUCGGAGUUACUGGGCGUAAAGGGUGCGUAGGCGGUUGUCUAAGUUUGGUGUGAAAUCUCCCGGCUCAACUGGGAGGGUGCGCCGAAAACUGGGAGGCUAGAGUGCGGGAUGGGAGAGUGGAAUUCCUGGUGUAGCGGUGAAAUGCGUAGAUAUCAGGAGGAACACCGGUGGCGAAGGCGGGUCUCUGGGCCGAUACUGACGCUGGAGGAGCGAAAGCGUGGGGAGCGAACAGG
rnacentral:rRNA from 1 species